AGCGAACGCUGGCGGCAGGCUUAACACAUGCAAGUCGAACGGGCGUAGCAAUACGUCAGUGGCAGACGGGUGAGUAACGCGUGGGAACGUACCUUUUGGUUCGGAACAACUGAGGGAAACUUCAGCUAAUACCGGAUAAGCCCUUACGGGGAAAGAUUUAUCGCCGAAAGAUCGGCCCGCGUCUGAUUAGCUAGUUGGUGAGGUAAUGGCUCACCAAGGCGACGAUCAGUAGCUGGUCUGAGAGGAUGAUCAGCCACAUUGGGACUGAGACACGGCCCAAACUCCUACGGGAGGCAG
rnacentral:rRNA from 1 species